CAGCAGCCGCGGGAAAACGUAGGGUGCAAGCGUUAAUCGGAAUUACUGAGCGUAAAGCGUGCGCAGGCGGUCCGCUAAGACAGAUGUGAAAUCCCCGGGCUUAACCUGGGAACUGCAUUUGUGACUGGCGGGCUAGAGUAUGGCAGAGGGGGGUAGAAUUCCACGUGUAGCAGUGAAAUGCGUAGAGAUGUGGAGGAAUACCGAUGGCGGAGGCAGCCCCCUGGGCCAAUACUGACGCUCAUGCACGAAAGCGUGGGGAGCAAACAGGAUUAGAUACCCCUGUAGUCCCUGUCUCUUAUAC
rnacentral:rRNA from 1 species